UACGGAGGGGGCUAGCGUUGUUCGGAAUUACUGGGCGUAAAGCGCACGUAGGCGGCUUUGUAAGUUAGAGGUGAAAGCCCGGGGCUCAACUCCGGAAUUGCCUUUAAGACUGCAUCGCUAGAAUUGUGGAGAGGUAAGUGGAAUUCCGAGUGUAGAGGUGAAAUUCGUAGAUAUUCGGAAGAACACCAGUGGCGAAGGCGACUUACUGGACACAUAUUGACGCUGAGGUGCGAAAGCGUGGGGAGCAAACAGG
rnacentral:rRNA from 5 species